rnacentral:lncRNA from 1 species
UGGGUUCCAUGGCCCGCUCCCCGGGAGCUCUCGUCGCUCUGAGUAAUUCCGACCAGUCGGAUGAUCACGACCUUGGAGCUCAGCACCAGACCACGUACAGCUUGGCUCACCACCUGAUUCCGUCUGCCAUCAAAAAGAGGUUCAGGACCAAGUUUACAAACGAGCAAAAGGAAAAGAUGUUCCACUUUGCUCACCGGCUGGGUUGGAAAAUCCAGAAGCACGACGAGGGCGAAGUGCAGCAGUUCUGUGCUGAUGUCGGGGUCAAGCGGCACGUCCUCAAGGUGUGGAUGCACAAUAACAAGAACACCUUCGGGAAGAAGAUGAGCUGAACAAGCAGCAGCCGCAGCAGCAGCAGCAGCAACAGCAACAC